CGAAAAGAUGAAUUUUCAUAAGAAAAUUUAUAAUAUUUUUAAAUUUUCACAUAAAGAGCUAAAAUUUUAGCUAGACACUCUUGAAAUUGAACAUUUUAAGGGAAAGAAUAAUACAAAAGUCGUGGUUUCAAAAAAGAUAUUUAUUUGGAGCUGAAGAGACAAAUUUUAGCCAAAAGUGGGUUAAAUUGAAGCUGAAUUAGCUGGAGUCGUCUCAUAUUCCACAGUGCCAGAUAAAGGUCAAAUAAAUACUAUUUUAUCCCCUAGUACCAAAGAGUAAGCAAAGAAUUACCGAUAAAAGCAACACGGCGUCGUACUCACCUGUCAAAUAUGUAUAUCGAGAAUGCUUGAUCAUACUAGUGAGGUCCUACACUUAAAACUUGUAUUUUCAGCUAUUUUUCAUCAAAAACUACAAAGUUGCAAAAGAAAAAGAAAGAACUUCAACCCUUUUCUUAUAUAUAAAAAAUUAUACUUAAUAUCAUGAUUCUAACAAAGUUAACCAAAAUUUCGUUAAUCUCCUUAUCAGCUAAUUAUAGCUACGUCACUGGGAACUUUAUCAUGCUCGGUACUGUACAAGGUUAACUUCGAAAUUUUCUAAACAUCCCUCUUCUUCACGGUAUCGCUUCGUCCGUAACUUGAUCGACUUUUCAGGUAAGUAAUAUUAUGUACGCGGAAAAGCUAUUUACCAGCGUAGAACCGCCAAACCGUGGCAGUAUUUACAGUCUAAGAAGAUUGUGUCCCCUAUGUCUACCUCUUCAAAGGAAACGCGAAAGUUUGCACAGUUCGUUCAAGCGAAAGGGGUGAGGAUGAACGUGGGGUGCUCGGCCGCCUACAAUAGGCGCCUAACAAUGAGUUUACCGGCGGCAGCCGACAGACAAUUUCGAGUAAACUUACAGAACGAUGGGAUUCGUUAUCCCAGUUAUGAGCUGCCGUUGCUGCUGCUUCUGCUUCUUCUUCUUACGUAUAUAGAGGCAUCGAUCUACAGGCCAUAAGAGACGGCAAUAGCGUAAUGGCUUGAUGAUUUAAGGACGCAAUUAGGCAAAGUGGAAGGUUUCGUGGAAGUUGAACGUACCCCGAGCAAGUAUUCCCGGGUGUUUUCGUGAAGACAGUAAUUGCCAAGUCUCCGGUGAAUAUGUAUAUUGCUUUUGUGUGCUAUGAGGCUGGAUGAAAGUACUCUGUCCUGUCCUUGCUCUGGAGACUGCGUUAUCCAUUACCGCUCAUGUAAGAGAAAAUUUAAAUGCACACCAGCGACUUUACACCUCGUUCGCCAUCAGCAACCACCCCUGGCAUUACCCUUCGGCUGACUUUAUUCCAGGAAUGUGCAUAUAAAUGUUGAAAGAUCAUUGACACCUUAAAGUAUUGCUUCGCUGCAGAAUGAUAAAUUAAAAAAUUGAAUAAUUAUAUUUUUAAAGAUACAAACUAAAGAUAUAAAGAUUAAAAAAUAUUCUG